rnacentral:tRNA from 1 species
GGGGGUGUAGCUCGGGGUAGAGUGCUUGCCUAGCAUGCGUGAGGUUCUGGGUUCAAUCCCCAGCACUGCAA